rnacentral:lncRNA from 1 species
GCUAUUCUCUGGAGUCAGAUGGAUAAAGCUUCAGUUUCCCAGGUAACCAACCAUGGAUCUGAGCUGAGUGACCCAGUGCCGAUGUGAAGAAGAAUGUUGCCAAGACAACGGAAUCCAUACCCCUUUCCAGCACUGAGGCCUUCCUCCCUCUCACUACCUGCUUGGAUCUCAGGCUUUACCCCAUAAAGACAAAGAAACUGGCUGAGGAGACAAGAGAAAGAAAGUAGCAGAAGAUGGGAAGGAAACAGACGGAGUCUCACUUGUGUUGCCAAGAGAGCUUGAGCAUCAACUGGCAGUGAGGAUGGCAGGAAAGCAACUGACUUAUCCCCUCUCACCAGACCUUCCAACUGUCUGCAACACUGGCAUUGCCACGUAUCCCGGCACGUUGUUGAUCCCAUUGUGGCAUUGUGGUCAGAGAAUAUACAAAUCGCUGAAGAAUCCAUUGUUUAUGGACAUUCCUGGGAUAGUAUUCAUUUAAAUAUCUCUAUGUACACUGUAAUGGAAUAUAAUACAAAAAUGGAGUUGCACGCAAAAUGAGGGUACCACUCAGUAAAUGGUUCCACAGGGACGUCUGAUCCCCUACGAUCUGGGUUAAGAAAUGGUGUAGUGUAUUGCCGGCAGCUCAAAAGCACUCUCAUGCCAGUCACUCUUGUCUUCCACCUCAGCAAAUCUAACCACUCUUGUGACUUUUAACACUUGACGAUAAUCCUGCCUGUUUGUGAACGCAUUACACAUGAGUAGACUCAGUACAGUACGUAUUUUAUAAUCCGGGUUUCUCUUGGCAACAUUAGGUUUUUCUCCUUGCUAUUCACUUUUGUCGUGCUGUGUAGCUGAAUUUCGUUUCUUUGCAUUCCUGCGCAGUGUUUUGAAUUGUAUGACGAUGCCACAAUUUAUUCAUGCCUUUUAUUUCUAAUGGGCUCUUCAGUAGUUUCCAGCGCUGGAGUGUUAGUGUUAUUAUUGUGGUGCACGUUCACAAGGAUGUCCUUUGGUUAACAUGCGUAUGCAUUUAAGGCUGUGCUUGCAGGACUGCUUUGAUUACUUUUUCUUCCUUCAUGGCACUGUAAGUGGUGACAGUGGAUGUAUCUGGUUUUUUUUUCCCCCUGAUCUCAGAGGGAAAGCUGUCAACAUGUCACCCGUAAGUAUCGUUGUUUUUGUAGGCUUUUAAAAUAUAUUCCAACGGAAUCAAGAGACUUCCCUUUUGUUCGUAGUUGGCUAAGAGGUUUUAUCAUAAGUGCAUGGUCAUUUAAAAAAAAUCAAACCCAUGAAAUACCCUUCCUGCGUCUGUAGGGAAUAUCAUAUUUUUUCUCCUUCAUACAUUACUUCUGAGAGAUAGAUUUUUCAAGCGCUGAACCGCUUCAUUUCUAGAAUACUCUUGACUUGUUUGUGAUACGUUUUCCUUUUUGGAGAUUUAACUGAUUUGUUUUGCUAAUGCUUUAUUCAAGAUUUCUUCUUCUGUGCUUAUGUAAAAGAUAGGCCUGUGCAUUUCAUUUCUUACCAUGCCCUUUAAGGUUUUUCCCUCAUAAAACGGGAUGGGAAGCAUUUCCCGUUUUUUAUGUUACUUGGCAAGAAGGUAAGAUUGAUAUUCCUUCCUUCACAAACGUUUUGUAGAAUUAAUCGGUGGCAGCAUCAGAGUCCGUAGGUUCUUGUGGCUGUUGCUGUUGUUUCCUUCAGAUUCCGCCCGUUUAGAAUUUGUAGGACAAUUCAGAUGUUUAGUCUGUUUUCUGUCAUUUUGUUGUAUUUUCUUGAAAUGUGUAAAUUAUAUCCAAAGUUUCACGUUUGUGGGCAUAAAGUUGCUCAUGGUUUUGAAUAAUGAUCUCUUUAAUGCCUUCAUUGCCCAUAGUGAUGUCUCCUUAGCCACUCCAGACACGGGUUGCUUCAUGAUUUCUCUCCUUUUUGUUCAGGCCUACACAAGGCAUGUCUUAAUCACAUCAUCUUUUCAAAAAACCACCUCUGGCUGUGUUGUUUUAUCUUUAACUGAUUUGUACUUUUAUCGUUAUUUCAUUUCUUCUGCUUUCUUCAGGUUUAAUCUGUUGUUCAACAUGGUUAAGAAAGAUGCAAAUGUUGUGCCUUUCUUUUUCAUGCAAUCUAGACAAUUAAAAUAUAUCCCAUAAGAUUUCAUCAGGUUCAAAAUACUUUGCGAUUUCAUUGGUGAUGUUUUCCUUGAGCUAUGGGUUAUUUAGAAAAUAGGAAAUAAAAAGGAUGCCUUUUCUAAAAAUAAAAUGAAGUGAAAUAAAAAGGAUGCCCUUUUAUUUCAUUUUCUUGCUUAAUUGCCCUCUGAACUUCCGGGACUAUGUUGAGAAGAAGUAGCAAAAGCGGGCAUCUCUGUCUUGCUCCUGAUCUUAGAGGAAAAGCUUUCACUCUUUCGCCAUCGUGUACAGUGUUCACAAUGAGUAUUUUAUAUAGGACUUUUGUGACGUUGAGGUUGUUUCCUUCUGUUUCAAGGAGUUUGAGUGUUUUUAUCACGAAGGGGGUUGACUUUUGUCAGAUGCUUUUAGUGCAUCAAUUGAGCCGAUCAUGUGGUUUUGUCCUUCAUUUUGUUGAUGCCGUACACUAAAUUAGUUGAUUUUCAUUGAUCGAAACUUCCUUGCAUUCCACGAAUAAAUCCCACGUGGUCAUGGGCCUUUCAUGUGUUGUUGAACUCGGUGUGCUAGACUUUUGUUGAAUAUGUAUGCACAAACAUUCUUUUGGGAAGUGUGUGUGUGUGUGUGUGUGUGUGUGCGCGCGCGUUUCUGGUCCUAGUUCUUCUCUAACUGUUUAGUAGAAUUCUCCACUGAAGCCAUCUAGUCCUGCGGUUUUCUCUGUUGGGAGGUUGAUGAAUACUGGUUAAGUCUCCUUAUGAGUUGUCGAGAUCUGCUGAGAUUUUUUAUUUCUUCAGGAGUCAGUCUUGGCAGCGUGUACGUUUCUCAGAAUUUAUCCAUUUCUUCUAAAGUAUCAAAUUUGUUGGGGUAUAGUUGUUCCUGGUCUUCUCCUUAUAAUCUUUUUUAUUUCUGUAGUAACAAUUGUAAUGCCCCUCUGUCAUUCUGAUUUUAGUUAUUUGACCCUUCUCUGUUUUUUUCUUAAUCUGCUUAACCUAUGUUGACCUUUUCAGAGACACCAGCUCUUAGUUUCAUUGUUUUUUUUUUCCUAUUAUUUGUCUAUUCUCCAUUUCCUUUAUUUGUGCUCUAAUCUUUAUUACUUCCUUCCUUCUGCUAACUUCGGGUUUACGUUGUUCUUCCUUUGCUAGUUCUCGAAACACAAAGAUAGGCUGUUGAUUUGAGAUCUUUCUUCUUUUUCACUGUAAGGAUUUACCACAAUAAACUUCCCUCUUAACACUGCUUUCCCUGCAUCUCCUUAGUUGUGGUAUGUGGUGUUUUCAUUGUCAUGUGUCUCAAGAUACUUUCUAAUUUCCUUGUGGUC